CCUACGGGUGGCAGCAGUGGGGAAUAUUGCACAAUGGGGGAAACCCUGAUGCAGCGACGCCGCGUGAGUGAAGAAGUAUCUCGGUACGUAAAGCUCUAUCAGCAGGGAAGAAAAUGACGGUACUGACCAAAGAAGCCCCGGCUAACUACGGGCCAGCAGCCGCGGUAAUACGUAGGGGGAAGGCGUUAUCCGGAUUAAUUGGGUUGAAGGGGUGCGUAGGCGGAAUAUCAAGUCAGCGGUAAAAAUUCGGGGCUCAACCCCGUCGUGCCGUUGAAACUGAUGUUCUUGAGUGGGCGAGAAGUAUGCGGAAUGCGUGGUGUAGCGGUGAAAUGCAUAGAUAUCACGCAGAACUCCGAUUGCGAAGGCAGCAUACCGGCGCCCAACUGACGCUGAAGCACGAAAGCGUGGGUAUCGAACAGGAUUAGAUACCCCGGUAGUC
rnacentral:rRNA from 1 species